CCACCCCGUGUCCCCCACCACCGCAUCCAGCGGCGAGGCGAUAUUGGAGGAUCUCGGAGCGCCCUACCAGCCGCCGCCGCGCCCUUGAGCACCAGCGCCAUGCGCCUUCUCCCGGACGGCUGCUUGCCCGCUCCCUUCAAGCCCCAGCCGCCGCGCUCCUGUCAAGCCCCGGCCGCCGUGCUCGGUCACCGCAAGGACCGGCCGCCAUGCCUCGCCGGCCAACAUCGGAGCAGCCAGCCUCGACAGGUGACAGCAUAUCCUCAUCCAGGCUCGCCCUGGCCGGAGCCUACUGCGUCGACCCAUCACAUUGAUCAUCCCGCCUAAUCCCACCAGCGUACUCGCCGGCGUAGCUUUCCCCACAGGUCUAUUCCUCCUACCCCAUUUGAUCCAUGUGUGUGUCAGCUAAUGGUAUUACGAUUUUUUCAUAGUCAGAUAAUGAUCAAGCUUUUACUGAAUUUUGUCAAAAAUAAGGUUUGCUACGGCCUGAUAAGGAUCUAUUGUUUAACUGAAUUGUGGAUGUUUUCUUUUCCAUGGAUGCUCUUUAUAUUACUACAAUAUAUGUUGUCCGAUUCAGGCCAUAUUCUUCUGUACGUUUCAAAGUGGCAACUUCAGAAAUUAUUCAAUGAGUUGACCUUCAUUUUUUUGAAUUAUAUUAAUCUCAUGUGUAAAAGUUAGCGGAUGACCCAAAAUCUAAAGUUAACUGUGCUCUGCCUGGCUAGCUAAGCAGACGAGCCAGAAACAACCUUUCUUGUAAUUUGAAUGUGCAUGAAUUACCUUUUGGUGCCAUCUGAUAUUUCUGAAUGUUUUUUUAUACUGGCAGCCUUGAAUAUGUGUGAAUGUUCUUGACGCUAGUACGGUUCAAUCUUCUCCUUCUACCAUUUAAUUUGAUAGCGUGAACUCCUUGCUCUUUUAUUGCUCUCUUUUCAACAGUGUAAUAGUAAUUGCAAGGAGAGAGACACUACUGGAUACAGGGACACAAGUCAGAGCACAAGUACAGUGUACUUGCAGCAUUGGCUGAACCAAUGACCAAGCAAAAAAAUAAGAAAAACAGGGGAGAAAGAAAGGAGUCUCGGAACUAAACAGGUUCAGCCAUGCCAAAAACACAAAUCCAAGAGAUCUGCUUCAUCAGCACGGAUCCGAGAUCUAGAAGAAAGAAUUGAACAAAAGGAUAGAGAGGGAUGCAAAUGACAAGUAGCUAUGGCAUCAAGAGGAGUUAGCCGCGAGACUUGUAGCACAAGAGACAACACUUGAAGAGAUGGGGAUGAAGUAGCAAGAAAAGUAGUGUAAUGAGCCAGCAAGACAAGAA